CUGGGCUUGACAUGUAAUGAACAACAUGUGAAAGCAUGCGACUCUUCGGAGGCGUUACACAGGUGCUGCAUGGCCGUCGUCAGCUCGUGUCGUGAGAUGUUUGGUUAAGUCCAGCAACGAGCGCAACCCCUGUUGCCAGUUACCAGCACGUGAAGGUGGGGACUCUGGCGAGACUGCCCAGAUCAACUGGGAGGAAGGUGGGGACGACGUCAGGUCAGUAUGGCCCUUAUGCCCAGGGCUGCACACGUACUACAAUGCCCAGUACAGAGGGGGCCGAAGCCGCGAGGCGGAGGAAAUCCUAAAAACUGGGCCCAGUUCGGACUGUAGGCUGCAACCCGCCUACACGAAGCCGGAAUCGCUAGUAAUGGCGCAUCAGCUACGGCGCCGUGAAUACGUUCCCGGGUCUUGUACACACCGCCCGUCACAUCAUGGAAGCCGGUCGCACCCGAAGUAUCUGAAGCCAACCGCAAGGAGGCAGGGUCCUAAGGUGAGACUGGUAACUGGGAUGAAGUCGUAACAAGGUAGCCGUAGGGGAACCUGCG
rnacentral:rRNA from 1 species